rnacentral:rRNA from 1 species
AGAGUUUGAUCCUGGCUCAGGAUGAACGCUGGCGGUAUGCUUAACACAUGCAAGUCGAACGGACUCUUCGGAGUUAGUGGCGGACGGGUGAGUAACGCGUGAGAAUCUGGCUUCAGGUUCGGGACAACAGUUGGAAACGGCUGCUAAUACCGGAUGUGCCUUAUGGUGAAAGAUUUAUCACCUGAAGAUGAGCUCGCGUCUGAUUAGCUAGUAGGUGUGGUAAGAGCGCACCUAGGCGACGAUCAGUAGCUGGUCUGAGAGGAUGAUCAGCCACACUGGGACUGAGACACGGCCCAGACUCCUACGGGAGGCAGCAGUGAGGAAUUUUCCGCAAUGGGCGAAAGCCUGACGGAGCAAUACCGCGUGAGGGAGGAAGGUUCUUGGAUUGUAAACCUCUUUUCUCAGAGAAGAAUAAUGACGGUAUCUGAGGAAUAAGCAUCGGCUAACUCCGUGCCAGCAGCCGCGGUAAUACGGAGGAUGCAAGCGUUAUCCGGAAUGAUUGGGCGUAAAGGGUCUGUAGGUGGUUGUUCAAGUCUGCUGUUAAAGCGUCUGGCUUAACCAGAUAAAGGCGGUGGAAACUGAACGACUAGAGUUCGGUAGGGGAGACUGGAAUUCCUGGUGUAGCGGUGAAAUGCGCAGAUAUCAGGAGGAACACCGGUGGCGAAGGCGGGUCUCUGGGCCGAUACUGACGCUGAGGAGCGAAAGCGUGGGGAGCGAACAGGAUUAGAUACCCCCGUAGUCC